AAAAAACAUCAGGAUGGUGGAGAAUGUCAAACACGUUUCUGUAGCAUAAAUCGUCGUUUUGAACUCGGCGGACGAACGAUGAACUUUCAUGUCCACGCUGGAAUCGAGGCAUCUGCAAGAGGACGGGCGGUGCGUCGCUAGAUGGAGUCAGAGCAGCUGUACAGCCGCGGCUACUGCAGGACGGGCUACAGCAGCUACAACAGCAUCACCAGCGCCAGCAGCGACGAGGAGCUGCUGGACAGCGCCGGGGCCACCAUGGACUUCCACACCACCGAGGACGACAACCUGUUGGACGGGGACGCCGCCUCCUCCCCAGGUUCUAACUACGUCAUGUCUAACGGGGGCGGUGUGGCCAGCAGUACCACCCACCUGCUGGACUUCCUGGAGGAGCCCAUCCCGGGGGUGGGCACGUACGAUGACUUCCACACCAUCGACUGGGUCCGCGAGAAGUGCAAGGACCGCGAGAGGCACCGCAAGAUCAACAGCAAGAAGAAGGAGUCUUCAUGGGAGUUUUCCAAGAGCGUGUACGAUGCCUGGUCCGGCUGGCUGGUGGUGACUCUGACCGGCCUGGCCUCAGGUGCUCUGGCCGGUCUCAUUGACAUCGCGGCCGAUUGGCUAAACGACCUGAAGGAGGGCGUGUGCCUCAGCGCCAUGUGGUUCAACCACGAGCAGUGCUGCUGGACGUCCAACGAGACCACCUUUGCCGAGAGGGACAAGUGUCCGCAGUGGAAAAGCUGGGCGGAGCUUAUACUGGGGCAGGCGGAAGGCCCAGGCUCGUACAUCAUGAACUACUUCAUGUACAUCUACUGGGCGCUGUCCUUCGCUUUCCUGGCCGUCCUUCUGGUCAAGGUCUUCGCCCCGUACGCCUGCGGCUCAGGGAUCCCCGAGAUCAAGACCAUCCUAAGCGGGUUCAUCAUCCGGGGCUACCUGGGGAAGUGGACCCUGCUGAUCAAGACCAUCACUCUGGUGCUGGCCGUGGCCUCGGGCCUCAGCCUGGGCAAGGAGGGGCCCCUGGUGCACGUGGCCUGCUGCUGUGGCAACAUCUUCUCCUACCUCUUCCCCAAGUACAGCAAGAACGAGGCCAAGAAGAGGGAGGUCCUGUCGGCGGCCUCUGCAGCGGGGGUGUCAGUGGCGUUCGGGGCACCCAUAGGGGGGGUGCUCUUCAGCCUGGAGGAGGUGAGCUACUACUUCCCCCUGAAGACGCUGUGGCGCUCGUUCUUCGCCGCCCUGGUGGCGGCGUUCGUGCUGCGCUCCAUCAACCCCUUCGGGAACAGCCGCCUGGUGCUGUUCUACGUGGAGUACCACACGCCCUGGUACCUGUUCGAGCUGCUGCCCUUCAUCCUGCUGGGCGUGUUCGGGGGCCUCUGGGGGGCCUUCUUCAUACGGGCCAACAUCGCCUGGUGCCGGCGACGCAAGUCCACCCGCUUCGGCAAGUACCCAGUGCUGGAGGUGAUCCUGGUGACGGCCAUCACAGCCGUGGUGGCCUUCCCCAACCCGUACACGCGGCAGAACACCAGCAUGCUCAUCAAGGAGCUGUUCACGGACUGCGGCCCGCUGGAGUCCUCGCAGCUCUGCCAGUACCGCAGCCAGAUGAACGGCAGCAAGGCCUUCAACGAGACCCCCAACCGGCCCUCCGCGCCCGGGGUCUACGCCGCCAUGUGGCAGCUCUGCCUGGCGCUCAUCUUCAAGGUCGUCAUCACCAUCUUCACGUUUGGACUCAAGGUCCCCUCCGGCCUGUUCAUCCCCAGCAUGGCCAUCGGCGCCAUCGCGGGCCGCAUCGUGGGCAUCGCCAUGGAGCAGCUAGCCUACUACCACCACGACUGGUUCAUCUUCAAGGAGUGGUGCGAGGUGGGCGCCGACUGCAUCACGCCCGGCCUGUACGCCAUGGUUGGGGCGGCCGCCUGCCUCGGCGGCGUGACGCGCAUGACGGUCUCCCUGGUGGUCAUCGUGUUCGAGCUGACGGGCGGCCUGGAGUACAUCGUGCCCCUGAUGGCGGCCGUCAUGACCAGCAAGUGGGUGGGCGACGCCUUCGGGCGCGCCGGCAUCUACGAGUCGCACAUCCGGCUCAAUGGCUACCCCUUCCUGGACGCCAAGGAGGAGUUCACGCACACCACGCUGGCCCGCGAGGUCAUGCGGCCGCGGCGCAGCGACCCGCCGCUGGCCGUUCUGACCCAGGACGACCUGAGCGUGGAGGAGCUGCAGGCGGUCAUCAGCGAGACCAGCUACAACGGCUUCCCCGUCAUCGUGUCCAAGGAGUCGCAGCGGCUGGUGGGGUUCGCGCUGCGCCGCGACAUCACCAUCGCCAUCGAGAACGCGCGGCGUAAGCAGGAGGGCAUCGUGCUGGCCUCCAGGGUCUACUUCACACAGCACGCCCCCACGCUGCCCGCCGACAGCCCGCGGCCCCUGAAGCUGCGCUCCAUCCUGGACAUGAGCCCCUUCACCGUCACCGACCACACGCCCAUGGAGAUCGUGGUGGACAUCUUCCGCAAGCUGGGCCUGCGCCAGUGCCUGGUAACCCACAACGGGAUAUUGUUGGGCAUCAUCACCAAGAAGAAUAUUUUAGAGCAUCUGGAGGAGCUCGAGCAGAGAGCGGAGCUCCCGGUGAUUAGCCACGCCCCCUUCCCCCAUGACUCCUCCUUCUGCUCUUCACACUAGUCUCUUAGGCUCCGCCUCCUAGGAGGCAUGCAUGAAACUGUGUGGUCAGACGGUCUUGACAGUUCCCAUUCCAAAUCUUUCUCUGCUGGCUCGGGCCUCUGCGUGUGCCGUGGGAUGGUUUACUUUGGUGUGGAUUUAUUUUUUAUCAAUGCUCAGUCCUCUCAUGUUCGGCACAUCUGUCGACAGAUGUAACGUCAGUUAGGGUGCACUCACACUAGGCCAUCUGGCCGUGGCCGUUGGCCGUCGCAACUGUGGCCUGGCCACGGUAGGCUCUUGUACAUACGUCAUCACGUCGUAAGUAACACGUCAUCACCAAGCGUCCGCUGCAUGGACCAUAAUAAAGUCUGCACAGUUCGCACUUUGCUGAGUCUGUUGCUUAUUUGGAUAUAUGUUUACCGUUUAAUGGGAAAGAAGGCUCGUCGCCUUUAUUAUGUCCGUGGUCGGACAUAAUAACACCUCUCCCAAAUGGCCAAAUUGGCCCGGCCUGGCCAGACUGGCCACACUCACACUGGCAGAUUUGAGCACGGUUAGUUGUGAAAAAGGCCACGGCCAGAUGGCCUAGUAUGAGUGCACCCUUAAACUGUGAUGCAUAACAAUUCUUUCAAAUUUGGGUUUAGAUACAAUUUGUAUUGAAUGAAAAGUUCUUCAUUUGAAAGAUACAAGGUGUAAUAUAUAGAUAUACAAGUAAGUCAACUAGCUCGUAGAUUUUAAUAGAUGUUUCCUUGGACCUCUUUUCCUUUUGUCGUUAAAGACAAAUGUCUUGGAAGGAACAGAACAAAAACAAAUAAAUGUGUCUAAAGUCUCAAGCUCCAAACGGCGAUUUGUCAAAUUUUGAUAUAGCUUUGGCGUACUGCAACUCCAGUGAUUAACGAUAGUCACGUGGACGGUAAUUUGGGAUCACCAUGGGAACUGUCACAUCAAGUCAUCUAGUAGUUUCCGUGAUGACGGCUUGGCAUACCAUCUCCAUCCGGCUGCCUCGUCCGUACCUAACCCCAGCUUAGUAGGGCACUAGUGGUGUCAAUAGUGAAACCUGCACUAGUCUUGACCCUGUAGCCCUGUAGUUAGAACGUGUGUGUGUGUGUGUGUGUGUGUGUGUGUGUGUGUGUGUGUGUGUGGGGUCUGUACUGGAUUUCAAGAUUGCCUACUUUCUGAGCCGAGGUGUGUGUGUGUGGAAGAUGAGCCUGGGCGUUUAGUGACCUCUCUCCGUGUAAAUGAAGGUGUCUCAGUGAAAUACAAUGGGGUUUAGCUAGGUCUGUGAUUUACUUUGUCGAGGAGAAAGCAAAAUAAUCACUUCUGCUCCUCCUCAAAAUGAGUAACGUGGCUUCUUCUUUUAAGUAUUGAUCCUGCUAUAAUCUACUAAUGUUUUAUGGCUUGAAAAUAGAAACGAACCGCGCAAAGACUGGAAUACCUGCUGCACUGUAGAUCCGAUGGAGUCGGUCCUGAUGAUGAAGUUGUGAGGGGGGUGAUGCUGCAAAGUGACUGCCUGUUCUUUUAUUUUUUUUUGUAUUUCCCUUCCUCUCCCGGGAUCUGGGUCUUGUGAUGUCGUCUGUGAGAACUGUUUGUUAAACACUUAGUCUCUCCCCCACAUCGCUUGGCUGAAGAAACAAGAGCAGCCAUCUUCCUCGAGACCCCCCUCCCCCACCUCCAUCACUGCCGCAGUGUCAACCCGCAUACGUGCAUGAGUAUAUUUGUACAAACACUCCGUUCACACUUUUAAUACGAGGUCAGCGACCUACGUCACCUGUCAUAGACUAAUUAAGAUAAGAACCACUUUCCUACAGUGAACUAAAUCCCUGUCUUUGUCCUUAAUGAAUCGGUGAUUAAACCAAUAGGCUGAAUUAGCGCUAGUCUAUUGGUCUUGUUGGUGUUCAUGUAUGCGAUGGUCAGCCUCAAACAAGAAUCAAAGAAAAUGAGUUCUUCGUGCCCCUGUCCAAUGUGUAUGAAUUUAUGCUUUUAUUUGAUGUCAUGGAAAUGCAAAUUUAGGGCAGCCAAUGUCAUGCAACAGACAGUUUAAUAUUUGUACCCUGAUUGCAACCAAAUUUGCACAAUGUUGGAAUUUAACAGAAGCCCCCUUUCUUGGCCCACUCUUGUUUCCAUGGAAACGUCACGUACAGUCAUUGUCAGGCCUUUCUUGGAUGCAUCCCAGUAUCAGUAUAAAAAAAAAAGAUGUACGUUUAAACUAACUCGACUAAUAAAAUGAAGGAUUUUAUGUUCUACAGAUGGUAACGGCUACUGUGCGUUCACACCAGAAGCGAAGGCGCGUCGCGAAUACAUACAAAGUCAAUGCAAUGACGCAAACCGAUUCACAUUUUACAAGAAUUACAAGAGUGAGUCGUAGAAUAACAAGGAAAGUAGGGGUCAUUCGUUCUUGUUUUUUUUCAUUGCAUUUUUGUGUUUUUGAGUGAGGAGAGAAAACGUCGGCGUUGUCUGGCCCGUGGUGUGUCGCCUAACCCUAUUUCAUACUGACCUCGAUUUGUCACCCUUCUGUUUAUUUAUGGCUCGUGGUAUUUAGAGUUGUUCAUUAUUGUGAUGAGGAAUUAAUGUAUGAUUUACUUCAUGGUUUGAUUGUACAUUUAAAACAAAAUAUGUAAAGAAUAAAUUUGGUUUUGAGUAAAACAAAUAAAA